CCUCCUCUCCUCGCAACGGCCUCCUCCUUCCUGCACCGCCUCUUCCUCUCUUCCUUGCUCAUGGCGCCUCCCGCCGGUCGAUGCCUCCUGUCUUGCCCUUUUCGUGGGGAGCUGGAGAUGGGAAGAUGGCGUUGGAGGAGGAAAACAAGAUCCAGGCAGUGGAAAGAUGGCGUUGGAGGAGGGAGCAUGGGUGGCCGCCGUAGCUGAAGCACGGGUGGCUUGGUUGUGGCGGAGCAUGGCGGGAGUCCGGGCGGCGUCGUGGUCGUGGUCAAGAGGAGAAGCACGGGUGGUCGCCGCAGCUGAGCUUCUAUGUAACAUAGUUUUGAUGAAUCCUCUGCCGCAUCUGGCCUCUACAGAUUCAUUUUCGUAUCUACCUAUAAGGCGUUCGAUGAAAAUCCAAGCUGCUGCAGUGGCAGAUUACGCCGUCCGCUUGCAUGCUGAGCCAUGUUGGGCUCUCCUGUUCUUUUUUGUUGGCUUGGCGUACGCACUGGCAACCUCCUGCGUGAAGGAUUCAGCAUGCCUCUAUUUGAGAGAAAAGAUAUGAAGAAGCGGAUUUUCAGAGUAUCUCAGGCACACAAGCUAAAGGUUCACCAAGUUCAGGGAAAGAAAAGUUUCCCUAGACACGUGGCGGCGGUCAAGACAAGAGCGGCGCUGUGAGCGACGGCCCUCGAUCGUCUUCCUUGUGGAAUCAGGUACGCGUCGUCCAUCGUGGCCCAUCGUGGGUGUUGCCAGGCGACCGGAGGCGGCUACAGCAGGCCAGUGCCCGUGAUCAAGACAGACACCGGGAAGGCUGUCGGUCUACAGUUGUGCACUCGAUUCAAAUGAUUAUUCUCCGUUCUUUGCCUCAGAACUACAUAUGAGAGGUACAAAGGUUUGGCCAAGAUACUCAAUGAAGCUAUUCGAUUUAAGUAGUAAGGGUACCGGCGCCCAAAUAAAUUCAGGAGUACUGCAAAAUUCAAGUUGAUGGCUGGUGUGCCUUGUUGUUUUACAGUAUGAUAGUUGUUGAAAGUAUGUUCUAGAAUGUAGUGCCAUCGAUAGGUUCUGCUGGUUUCUACCUCCAUGCUGCUUAAACCAAUUACCUCCUCAAUUCUACGCCAUGGUAGGGCAGAUGAUUGUGUGCAAGGAAGGAAGGAUGCAAACGAUUUGAGUUCCCAGUUUGUACAGCCCCUGAGGAUUGGAAGGUCGUGAUGUUAUCUACUUGUCUCUUUCAUUCCGUUACAACCUGCUGUUCUUGCUCAGUUGUGUCCAUCAAGGAUAUGUUCUUUGAAUUUAGAUGAUGCACGGAUAAAUAACUCUUAUGUGACAAUGCAAAUGAAGGGUGCAGUGGCUCAGCCCUUUAGAUUGUUGGCGAGAAUAUUGGAGUAUAAAUAAAUACAAGUUGUUAACAACAACAUAAAUUUUUGGCUCUCUAUAUCCUCAUGAAUGAGGGUUUGUAUAAUUUUGGGCAUUCCUUUGCCUGUAGAAAUCGC